GGCCUCAUGGUGUAGUAGUAUCACGCGCGCUUCGGGUUGUCUGAAUUUGCGCGAGGUCCCGGGUUCAAGUCCCGGUGGGGCCC